CCCUUAGAUGUUCUGGGCUGCACGCGCGCUACACUGAUGCGAUCAACAAGUUUUUCCUAUGUCGAUAGACACGGGUAAUCCUUUGAACUCGCAUCGUGAUGGGGAUAGAUUAUUGUAAUUAUUAAUCUUCAACGAGGAAUUCCUAGUAGGUGCAAAUCAUCAGUUUGCAUCGAUUACGUCCCUGCCCUUUGUACACACCGCCCGUCGCUGCUACCGAUUGGUUGAUCUGGUGAAUUAUUCGGACUGCCGGCUGAAGGGGUUUCCUCAUCUGCCAGCGGAAAGUCUUGUUAACCCUAUCAACUAGAGGAAGCAGAAGUCGUAACA
rnacentral:rRNA from 1 species